AUGGAUCCUCGCGGCGCGAGAUGGACGGCUCCGUCGCUGUGCCUGGUGCUCGUGCUUCUACUCCAAGCGAGCAUUUCUGCGUGCGCGGGAGGCCCCAAGACUUACAUCGUCCACAUGGCCGCGUCGGAGAAGCCGAGCUCGUUCGAUUUUCAUCACGAGUGGUACGCCUCCACGGUCAAGUCCGUGAGCUCUGCGCAGAUCGAAGCUGAGGAGGAGGAGGAUGCUUACGCGAGGAUCGUCUACAACUACGAGACGGCCUUCCAUGGCUUCGCGGCUCGCCUCGACGAGGACGAGGCCGAGCGGAUGGCCGAGGCGGCCGGCGUGCUGGCCGUGCUCCCGGAGACGGUCCUGCAGCUGCACACCACCAGGAGCCCCGACUUCUUGGGCAUUGGCCCGGAGGUCAGCAACAGAAUCUGGGCCUCCGGCCUCGCCGACCACGACGUCGUCGUCGGCGUGCUCGACACCGGCAUAUGGCCCGAGAGCCCCAGCUUCAGCGACAAGGGGCUCGGCCCCGUGCCGGCCAAGUGGAAAGGCCUGUGCCAGACCGGCCGCGGCUUCACCACGGCCGACUGCAACCGCAAGAUCAUCGGCGCGCGCAUCUUCUACAACGGCUACGAGGCCUCCUCGGGCCCCAUCAACGAGACCACCGAGCUCAAGUCCCCGCGCGACCAGGACGGCCACGGCACGCACACCGCCGCCACCGCCGCGGGCUCGCCCGUGCCUGACGCCGGCCUCUUCGGCUACGCGCGCGGCGUCGCCCGUGGCAUGGCGCCCCGCGCACGCGUCGCGGCGUACAAGGUGUGCUGGACCGGCGGCUGCUUCAGCUCCGACAUCCUCGCGGCCGUCGACCGCGCCGUGUCGGACGGCGUCGAUGUGCUCUCCAUCUCCCUCGGCGGCGGGGCCUCCCCCUACUACCGCGACAGCCUGUCAAUUGCGUCGUUUGGGGCCAUGCAGAUGGGCGUGUUCAUCGCCUGCUCGGCCGGCAACGCCGGCCCGGACCCGAUAAGCCUGACGAACCUGUCGCCGUGGAUCACCACGGUGGGCGCGAGCACCAUGGACCGUGACUUCCCGGCAACAGUGACGUUCGGCAACGGCGCCAACAUCACAGGCGUCUCGCUUUACAAGGGCAGGCAGAACCUUUCGCCUCGGCAGCAGUACCCGGUGGUCUACAUGGGCGGCAACUCGAGCAUCCCGAACCCCAGGUCCAUGUGCCUCGAGGGGACACUGGAGCCCAACGCCGUGGCCGGAAAGAUCGUGAUAUGCGACCGCGGCAUCAGUCCUCGGGUGCAGAAGGGCCAGGUUGUCAAGGAAGCGGGUGGCAUCGGCAUGAUCCUCGCCAACACUGCAGCCAACGGCGAGGAGCUCGUCGCCGACAGCCACCUCCUGCCAGCCGUGGCCGUUGGGGAAUCUGAAGGCGUGGCGGCAAAGAAGUACACCAUGACGGCCCCAAAGCCGACGGCGACACUCAGCUUCGCCGGAACCAAGCUCGGGAUCCGGCCGUCGCCGGUGGUCGCCGCGUUCUCCUCCCGGGGGCCAAACUACCUGACUCUGGAGAUCCUCAAGCCGGACCUCAUCGCGCCCGGCGUGAACAUCCUGGCUGCAUGGAGCGGCGACGCCAGCCCGUCGAGCCUGGCCAGCGACCGCCGCCGGGUCGGGUUCAACAUCCUCUCAGGGACGUCCAUGUCCUGCCCGCACGUCGCCGGCGUGGCCGCGCUGCUCAAGGCAAGCCACCCGGACUGGAGCCCAGCGCAGAUCAAGUCGGCGCUGAUGACCACCGCGUACGUCCACGACAACACCUACCACGUGCUCAAGGACGCGGCGACUGGCGAUGCGUCCACGCCGUUCGAGCACGGGGCCGGCCACAUACACCCGGUGCGAGCGCUCAACCCAGGCCUGGUCUACGACAUUGGCCAGAACGAGUACCUGGAGUUCCUCUGCACGCAGAACCUGACGCCGACGCAGCUCAAGGGCUUCACCAAGAACUCCAACAUGACAUGCAAGGGCAGCUUCAGUUCGCCCGGCGACCUCAACUACCCGGCCAUCUCCGCCGUCUUCACCGAUCAGCCGUCCACCCCGCUGGCAGUGCACCGCACCGUGACAAACGUCGGUCCUCCGUCAUCGACGUACCAUGUCAAGGUCACAAAGUUCAAAGGCGCGGACGUCAUCGUCGAGCCGAGCACCCUGCACUUCAGCAGCGCAAACCAGAAGCUCGCAUACAAGGUUACAGUGAGGACCAAGGCCGCUCAGAAGACACCCGAGUACGGUGCCCUGUCAUGGAGCGACGGCGUUCACGUAGUCCGGAGCCCCCUGGUCCUCACAUGGCUGCCGCCAAUGUGA
rnacentral:rRNA from 1 species